rnacentral:tRNA from 1 species
UGGGCUAUCGCCAAGCGGUAAGGCACAGCACUUUGACUGCUGCAUGCGCUGGUUCGAAUCCAGCUGGCCCAG